rnacentral:rRNA from 1 species
UACGUAGGGUGCAAGCGUUGUCCGGAAUUAUUGGGCGUAAAGAGCUCGUAGGCGGUUUGUUGCGUCGGCUGUGAAAACCCGGAGCUCAACUCCGGGCCUGCAGUCGAUACGGGCAAACUGGAGUGUUGCAGGGGAGACUGGAAUUCCUGGUGUAGCGGUGAAAUGCGCAGAUAUCAGGAGGAACACCGGUGGCGAAGGCGGGUCUCUGGGCCGAUACUGACGCUGAGGAGCGAAAGCGUGGGGAGCAAACAGG